rnacentral:rRNA from 1 species
GACGAACGCUGGCGGCGUGCUUAACACAUGCAAGUCGAACGGAAAGGCCUGCUUUCCCUUGUGGAUUGCGGGUACUCGAGUGGCGAACGGGUGAGUAACACGUGAGUGAUCUGCCCCCAACUUGGGUAUAAGCCUGGGAAACUGGGUCUAAUUCCCGAUAGGACUGCAGGGUGGUGCCUGUGGUGGAAAACGAUUUUCUAGUGGUUGGGGAUGAGCUCGCGGCCUAUCAGCUUGUUGGUGGGGUAAUGGCCUACCAAGGCGGCGACGGGUAGCCGGCCUGAGAGGGUGGACGGCCACAUUGGGACUGAGAUACGGCCCAGACUCCUGCGGGAGGCAGCAGUGGGGAAUAUUGCACAAUGGGCGGAAGCCUGAUGCAGCGACGCCGCGUGGGGGAUGACGGCCUUGGGGUUGUAAACUCCUUUCGACCGCGAGGAAGCCACCUGGUUGGAAGGGUGGUGACGGUAGUGGUAGAAGAAGCACCGGCUAACUACGU